GACGAACGCUGGCGGCGUGCUUAACACAUGCAAGUCGAACGGUGACGGAGAGCUUGCUCUCCUGAUCAGUGGCGAACGGGUGAGUAACACGUGGGCAACCUGCCCAGACUUCGGGAUAACGCUUCGAAAGAGGUGCUAAUACCGAAUACGAACCUCCCUGGCAUCUGGGAGGUUGGAAAGUUUUUCGGUCUGGGAUGGGCCCGCGGCCUAUCAGCUUGUUGGUGAGGUAACGGCUCACCAAGGCGACGACGGGUAGCCGGCCUGAGAGGGCGACCGGCCACACCUGGGACUGAGACACGGCCCAGACUCCUA
rnacentral:rRNA from 1 species